AGAAGGCAGGGCCCCGCUCCCUGCAGCUCCGGCUCCAACAGCUCCAAGCGCCGGUCCCGGGUGCUGCGCACCCACCGCCGGCCGCCCCUCCCCAGCCCGGGGCCUGCCCAGGAGGCGAACGUUUGCUUUGGUUUGUAAAAUGAUCCGUGUAAUUAGACAAAAGAGUUAAACGGAAGGAUUUAUUCCUACAAAAGUGUCUCCUAAUGGCACUAACACCUGACAAAAGGGGGUCAUUAUCACAAGAUAAUGGACCUUGUCAACAUUAAGCUCUCUUAGGACGCAAUUCAACACACUCAAUUAUCUUCUAAUCAGGGCCAUUUUGUCAGAGGUUAUUGCCCUAAGGAAUCAAUUAGAUUAUAUAUACGUCAUUAAUAUUUUAUGGAGAAAUCGUUCGCACGAAAGUGUUAAAUACCUUCGCAAGGCUCCUGCCCGCCCCCGGGGCAGGCGCUCGGGGUGCGGGGCGGUGCGGGGCGGUGCGGUGCUGGGCGGGUGCCCCGAGCCGGGCUGGCAGCACCCAGCCCUGGUGCUCAGCCCUGGUGCUCAGCCCGGGGCCCCAGCGCCUUCGGGCUCCAUCCGCAUCCAGCUGAGCUUCGGCGCUGCCUGCGGGUCCCUGUCGUCGGCCCCGGGGAGGACGUGGCCGAAAAACAGUUCUCUGCCACCUGCCCAUUACUCGAUUCAUCCAGUACAUGUCAUCUCCUGGACUGGAAGCUCCUGGAGGCAAAGCCUGCUAUUCGCCGUGUGUGGGCACAUCACCUGCUGUAAUGGGGCUAUGACUAGGGUCUCCGGGCAUCACGGUGCAGAGCGUGUUAGAGGUGCAGAGAAACCCCCCCACCCCACUCCAUGUCUCCUCUUCUUGCAUCUGAUCUCCUAGAUGCAAAAGCUCUGUCUAGCACAAUUACUGCGGUGCCAAGGUGCAAGCGCAUAAUCGCAGUAUCAAUCAUGCAGCUCCUUGCCAGCUCCUGCCCCCUGCAAAAAGAACUGGCAGUUCAGUGUCUCUCGUCACCUGCAACGAGGCUGGAAGGGACGGGGAUGUCAGCGAGCGGAGAUGUUGUUGCAGAAGAGUCUGGAGAAACUCUGACAGCGCCACAAAGUCAGCAAGCUGCUCCAGUGAGAGGCUGCCUGAUGGGAGAGGGUGUUGCCAUCUAAGAACGUCCAUAAGCGUUCCCAUCAACUUCUGCUCCCCUGAGCACAGUCACAACACCAGUGACCCGGCAGCUCGUGUUGUGGCAGGUCACAACUAGAACAGCACGGAGAAACGAUAGGCCAGCACCGUUUGGAGGCUCGGGGGGACUGGAUGGCAGUUUUCCAGUUCCACCCCAUCUGGGAAAGCUCCGGGACCUGACUUCUGUUCUUGGUCUGCAGGGCAUCCUCAGGCAAAACCCUCAUCUCCCUGAACCUUAGUUUCCUUGGCCUUGGGGAUAAAGAAGGAAAACUUUGCCGUAAUAUUAGUAUAGCACUGUGCCUGUAACUUGCUGUUAUCCUGCUGCCAUUCUGACUGUAGCCUCGUAUCUGCCUUGCUCUCAAAAGCUCCCAUUUCACUGAGAAUUCCCCCAGCAAACUGUGUGAAAUGCCACGAGAAUCCCACCUGAUCUUCCCUGUGAUCUCCAGGAGGCUGUCUCCCACACCCCACUGCAAAAUCACCCCCUAAUGGACUUGUUCCAGCUUAACUCCACUGAAUUCGGGCAUUGAAAACGCCCCAUUUCUUUUACAAUACGCUCACUGCCGAGAUCAGCCCUUGAAAGUGGCCGUGCUGUGCUAAUGUGAGUUAAUGGAAACCUCUGAAUCAAUUUUUUGCUCCCUGAAGAAAAUCCCCCUGCUUUAUGCAGCAAAAGCUGUAAUACUGAAAAUGGCUUCAGAUUUUUGAUAGAGAAGAAGGGGACGGGGAGGAAGGUGUGCUGUAGCUCCACAACGAGGGGUCAAGUGUGGCUCCUCGGGCUGCUGGCUGGUCUCAUGCGGUGCCUCCCUGGUGGCACCAUUCUGUCCACGUCCGGGGGGCUCAGAGGAAGUGUGCCUCCUCUCACCUGGCAGAGGAUAGCGGUUCUGGGGUAGCAACCACCUUCUCAAUUACAAAAUCCCAUGUAUCUGGAACCCCAGAAGCACAGAGGCAGAUGGCAACGCAGGGCUGUUGGGUCCCAUAUGGGACCAUGUGCAAUGCCAAGCUUGCAGACCAUUGCCCCCAGCCAUCCCAGAGGAUCUCCCAGCUGCACAUAGAACCUGGCCGGGCUGGGGCAUCCCUCUUAGACACUGUAAUUCAUUUUCGAUAGAGAAGGUGAGUGACUAAACAAUCCAGGCCCUCCUUCUUCAAGUCCUACCUACCAAAGUCCUCUGAUGGUCUCACAGGAACAGCUAGAAGAAAGUCCUGAAAGAUCCUGGUCUUAUGCAGUGGCCAAAGAUCCACAUGUUGCUUAGAUGCCCAGGCUGCGUUUUACUUGGAUCCUGACGUGACUGUCAGUGCUACAAGUGUGUGUGCAGGAAUCCCCCAGGCAGCGGAUGCAGAAGUGCGCUCCAUUUGUUAGGCAUUAUGUACACCUAUAAUUCACACAUACAACACGCUGCAAUAAACAAAGUAUUUUCAUUAAAUUCUUAAGACA
rnacentral:lncRNA from 1 species